GCACAAGCGGUGGAGCAUGUGGUUUAAUUCGACGCAACGCGAAGAACCUUACCUGGACUAGAAUGCCUUUGACCGCCUCUUAAUGGAGGUUUUCCGGGCAACCGGACAAAGUNNAAGGUGCUGCAUGGCUGUCGUCAGCUCGUGUCGUGAGAUGUUGGGUUAAGUCCCGCAACGAGCGCAACCCUUAUUGAUAGUUGCCAUCAGGUAAUGCUGGGAACUCUAUCAAGACUGCCGUUGAUAAAACGGAGGAAGGUGGGGAUGAUGUCAAGUCAUCAUGGCCUUUAUGUUCAGGGCUACACACGUGCUACAAUGGUUGGUACAAAACGUCNCAAUCUCGUAAGAGUGAGCUAAUCGCUUAAAACCAAUCUCAGUUCGGAUUGAAGUCUGCAACUCGACUUCAUGAANUUGGAAUCGCUNGUAAUCNCGGAUCANCAUGCCGCGGUGAAUACGUUCCCG
rnacentral:rRNA from 1 species